GUGUCAACAAAACUAUAAGCAAAGCCACGGAUUGCACACGCACGCUUUCUCCCUCCUGAAGACAUAUAUUCGUGUUAGUGUUUCUGUAUUGUGUAAAUUUGGAUAAUUGAAUCCAAAUAUAAGUUCUUUUUUUCUUUUAAUUUUUGAAGAAGAUGGGAUUGAAGGAGACCUUUUAUAUCUCACAUGGCUCGCCGACGCUGUCGAUUGAUGAUUCGCUGCCGGCGAGGUCCUUCCUCCAGUCAUUCCGGCAGAAGGUGUUCUCGGAGAAACCCAAAUCUAUAUUGGUGAUAUCCGGCCAUUGGGAGACCUCUGAGCCAACUGUCAACACCAUCGCCGGCGUCAACAAUAUCAUCUAUGACUUCUACGGCUUCCCGGAGAAAAUGUACAAGCUCAAGUAUCCGGCUCCAGGAUCGCCGGAAUUGGCAGAUAGAGUCAAAGAAUUGCUCAAAGAAUCAGGUUUUAAGCGUGUGCACGAGGACAAGAAACGAGGAUUGGAUCAUGGCGCGUGGGUGCCACUCAUGCUCAUGUACCCAGCAGCGGAUAUCCCAGUGUGCCAACUCUCCGUCCAAACUAACAGGGACGGGACUUAUCAUUAUAAUUUGGGGAAAGCAUUGGCUCCCCUGAAAGAGGAGGGGGUGCUCAUUGUUGGCUCAGGCGCCACCACCCACAAUCUAAGUAGGCUGCGCCGUGGGGUUGGCCGAGGGGGCAUUGAUGAUGGUUCUGUGGUCACUUGGGCUUCGGAGUUUGAUAAUUGGCUCAAAGAAGCUCUACUUGAAGGAAGAUUUGAAGAUGUUAAUCACUAUGAAGAAAAGGCACCAUAUGCUAAAGUAGCACACCCAAGCCCUGAUCAUUUCUAUCCAUUACAUGUGGCAAUGGGUGCUGCAGGUGAAAAUGCUGAAUCUGAACUUAUUCACCAUAGUUGGAGUUACGGUGCCCUCUCAUAUGCCUCUUACAAGUUCAAGGCAACAAGUGAAUAGCAAAUCACGGGAACCUAGGACCCGAUAUUUCAGUGUUCGGAAGGAAUAAAACAAAUGGUACCUUGUAUCUUGAGUAAUCAAUUGAACAUAGCGGAAAUCAACUUGCCAUGGCACCACCAGACUCAGAAGCUCCUUACAGUAAUUCUUUCUGCUCAGUAGCAGCAGCACAAGACAGUCAAGAAAAGCACCAGGAACAUGUGAACCUUCAAAUUAAAAUACAAAAACUUCUGAUAUCAUGAACAAUAACGGUUUUGAUGAUAAGAAACGGAUUCACAUGUUUGGCUGAGUUUAAAAGCUUAUUAUUAAGUUUCAUUUUUGCCCAACAUGCUUGAGGUAUGUCAAAAGUUGCUACUAUAAAUGUUGAGGAAAUUUAAUCAAUCAUCACUGAACUUUAAAAUUGUUAACACUCACUCAAUCAUCUUUGACGGGUUACCCAUUGGUCACUCAUCUUUCCAAAUAAUUAUCCAUCCACCACUCGUUAAACUUCUUUCUCUCCAAAUAAACAGAAAAUUACACGUGGAUAACAUUAAUCAAACGUGGCAAACUUUCUCUGUUAAAUCUUGACAACAUGGAAUUAAAACCACGACAUUUCUUCUCUUAAAAUCACGCCUUCUACCAUUAUUCACGACACUUCUGCCUUGGAAGAGAAAAUUAAGAGAAAACCUAUCUAUUUCUUCAAAGUUCUCCCUGAAAUCAAAGUAUUAGGCUUGAGAUUCUUCUCUUGUCAGCAUAAUGGAGGGCAUAGGUGACCCACAAGGCCCUCAUAUGGACAAUAAUUGUUGGAAGAUGCAUUGUUGGAAGAUGAGCAAGAAAGACCACAAGAAGUGACGAACAAUGAGAGUGAAGAUUUGUUGCCAGUUGAGUGCCAGUUAAAUGACUCAGAGGAUGAUGUGGACGAUGGUGGUUUUCAUUAUCAGAGAAAUGCAUCGGAAAGAGUUGUGGUUGGUUUGAAUGCAGACCUUGAAUUUCAAACAGCUGGUGAAGAUUAUAUCUCGGAAUUGGAUGAUCCAUAUUAUGCAUAUUCUGAAGAGGAGUUGUAUACUGAUCAUUUUUCUAGUGAGGAAAAUAAUUAUCGUUUCCCUACUUACAAUGUUGAGAUGGAGAAGUUUAAUAUACAACUAGAGGUUGAAAAAGAGUUCAAAAGCAUAGAUGAAUUUAAGAAAGCAAUUAGACAUCAUGAAGUAGUCACAAGGUGUAAUUUGAAGUUUAAGGUAAAUGAUGAUAAGAGAGCACAAGGAGUGUGCCAAAAAAAGGAUUGUAAGUGGAAGAUUUGGGCUUCAUGAAAUAACAAGAAAGGUUGCGUGCAAAUUAAGACAUUCAUUUCGCAGUACACACGUAUACGAGACAGAACAAAUAGACAUUGUAUAGCUAAGUAUAUUGCUAAGAAGUAGAGGUAGGCAAAAUCCAACCAACCCAAGAGAACUGCUCAACGCAACCUAACCCAUCAGGUUUGGGUCGAUUUUUUGCCACUUUUUUUGGUGGGUUUUGGGUCUCGGGUUGAGUUUUUGGGUCAGGUUUGGUCGGAUUAUGAGUUAACAAUGAAAAUUCGAUAUAACUCGACCCAUCCCGAUAACGUUAAAAAAAUAAAAAAUUAAAGAAAAGAAAAAGGGAAAAUGACAUAAAAUGAAAAAUAGAAGCCUUAAACGUUGUCUCACACUCUCACCACAACAGUCACAAACUUCUUCAUUCACUCCCACCUCAAAGUUGCCGGCAACGAGCCCUAAUUUGUCUCCCGUCAUUUCUCUCAAAUCUAUGAUGGCGAUCUUCAUUUUCCAGUUGCCGAUCAUUGGACGUCCGCACUUCAGUGCUAUAGAGUACUAAUGCAGUUGAAGACAUGUAGAAAUUGGAGUCAGAAUAACUUGCACUGUCAUUUAAAUAUGGAUGUACGGGAAGAACAUGGAACACAAGCUCAAUCAAAUGACAUAGUCACAGAUCUGCAAUCUGGUUUUCUUCCACGUGUACCGUCAACAUUGGGUAAACGAAAAUCUAAUAGAUUAGCUUCUUAUGUUUGGGAUCACUUCACUCUAUUAGGCUCAAAGAAUUAUCCAGAUGUUAGAUGUAAGUGUAAUUAUUGUGGAGUAGAUUAUGCUUGUGGCACUAAGAAGUGUGGUAUUAGUACAUUGAGUAAUCAUUUGAAUAAUGAAUGUAAGAAGUAUCCAGAUAGAUUGAUAGAUAAGAAGCAGAAAACCUUAUCAUUUGAGAACAACAAAGAGGGUGGAGGGAGCAAUCUUAUUGUUGUUGGUCGAAGCAAGAAAGAGUGUAUAGUUGCAUGUGCUAAAAUGAUAGUUUUGGAUGAAUUACCUUUUAGAUUUGUUGAAGCUCGUGGUUUUAGGCUCUUUUGUAGUGUAGCAUGUCCUCAAUUUCAGGCUUCAUCUCGCAGGACUCUUGUUAGAGACAUUUAUCAAUUGUAUUUGGAGGAAAAACUGAAAUUGAAAGAUGCCUUUUCUUUUCACCGUCAAAUGGUUUCCCUUACAACUGAUACUUGGACUUCUAUUCAAAAUGUUAAUUACACAUCUCUUACAGCAUAGUACAUUGAUUCUGAUUGGACGCUUAAUAAGCGUAUUUUGAAUUUUUGUGUCAUUUCAAAUCACAAGGGAGAAACUAUUGGAAAAAUGAUUGAGACUUGUUUGCAUAAUUGGGGAUUGAGAAAAUUUUUUGCAAUCACUGUUGAUAAUGCAAGCUUCAAUGACACUACCAUUUAUUAUCUUAAGCGAAAUGUAGUUGCUUGGGAUAGUAAUAGAUGUGUUCUAGAUGGGACGUAUUUGCACUUGCGACGUUGUGCACACAUUAUCAAUUUGAUCGUUGGUGAAAGGUUGAGGGAAGCACUUGACUCCAUUGUGAAUAUUCGCAAUGCAAUCAAAUAUGUGAAAUCUUCUCCUGUUAGGUAUGAAAAAUUGAAGUAGUAUGCUAGGAAAGAGAAGAUUGACUAUAAGUCUAUUAUGUUUUUGGAUGUUCCAACUAGUUGGAAUUCUACCUAUUUGAUGUUGGAAAAGGCAUUGAAAUUUGAAAAAGCUUUCGAUAGAUUAGAAGAGGAGGGUUGCCACGCGUUUUAUAUAACGUGAUUUUAUACCGCAAGCACACGGUGUCAAGUUUUGUAGUAUAUAAAGAAUUGAAAAGCGUCGAACUCACAGGGAUUGAUAUUCGACUUCCACUGAGUACUAUAAUUGUGUCCACGUUUACUUUAUCCAGACAAUCGAGUGUUAAAUUAAUGUUUGAAUACUAAACUAACGUCAAUGAAUUAAAUAGUGCAAUAAAAGUGAGGUAAUUUCUAAAGACUAAAUCAAAAUUACGUAAUGUCUAGGGAGUGAUUUCACCGUAUUCUCGAUAUAAUUCUCAAUCCCUAUAGAUAUUUUCAUCAACUAUUUCCUGAAUUCAUAGGUAAGAAUCCUAAAUUAAUUCUAUUUCCCCCUCUCGAGCGUCAAAUAGAACCUAUCUCUAUAUUUUAACCCCAAUAUCUCUAUUUCGAAUUAAAUAUAUAAAAAUUAUCACGCACUUGGUUCUUAUUUUACUCUUAAAGAUUCGUACUUUCUCUCGAAACCUACAAACCUAGAUUAUAUUAUUCUUAGAUUACGCCUAAAUUUCUCUCUCUCGAGCGUCAAAUUUAGAACAUCAAUUCAUUCAAUUGGUGAUCAGGCAACUGAAAGAAUUAAACAAGAACAAUACAAAUCAAUUCUGAAAAAUUAAAUGGAAAUAUUAUAAAGAAAUUAAAUUAUGUCUCAAAUAGGUUACAUCAAACUCUAGAUUUAAUAGUUUGAUUCAUGAUUGAGAAGAAAAACACAAUGAAAUACAAACUAGAGUGCAUGUAUAAGAGAAAGAUAGAAAAAAACUCAAGUUGCUGCUCUAUUUCUCAAUCUUGUUGCUCGAUUUCUCAGUUUUCUCCCUUCUUCUUCUCCAAAAUCGGGUCGAUCUUCUCUCAAUUGAUACCUCUUUUUUUCUUGCGUCUUCAGCCAUCUAACCCCCAUCUCUUGUUCUUCAUCUUGGUAUUUAUAUUUUCUAAGAGUCCUCAAGGGUUAGGGUAUGAUUUUUGGGCCGAAAAGAUAAUUAAAAAUUCGGGUUUUAACAUUUUGGGAUUUAGCGCCACGACGCCCAAGCAUGGCGCCAUGGCGCUGCGAUUAUCAUGGUAACUGGCACCAUGGUGCCCAGGUCUGGUGCCGUGGCGCCUAAGUUUCUGCUUCCUUCUUGUCCUCAUUGGGCACCAUGGCGCCCAGGUCUAGCGCCGUGUCGCCUAAGUUUCUGCUUGAAUUCAUCGCUUUGGAGGCGCCAUGGCGUCUCUUUUUCUGCGCCGUGGCGCCAAUGCCACUGCUUUGCUUCUCUUCACUUUAUUUUUCAAGCCUAUUUUCCACUCCAAUCUUAUUCAAUACUUGCUUAUUCAUGCUCCAUUUCAUUGAUCAUCAUUUUUGCUCAUCACCGGCUCCUAAUAGUGGUAUUUUCUCGAGAGUUGUCUAAACUGCAAAACAACACGAACACACACAUCAAAACGUUCAAAAAUGCUCAAGAACACAUCAAAAAAUGUGAUUUAGGAGCUUUAGUUUAAUGAGUGAAUUACACUCAUCAAGGGUGUUCAGUAUUUGCAUUACUUUCAGGAAGAUGAUAGUAGUAGAAGGAGGGGUGGACCUCCGUCAAGUUUAGAUUGGAAAAGUGCAUCUGUGUUUGUUAAAUUUCUUCAAAAUUUCCUUAAUGUGACUUCGACUUUUAGUGCUUCAUUGCAUAUUAGUACUUAUGCUUAUCUUCAUGAAAUUUGUAAUCUUGUAAUCGAAUUGGAUGAAUGGAGAUUAAGUGGAAACUUUUUGUUGGAUGAAAUGACGACUAACAUGAAAAAGAAGUUUGAUAAGCAUUGGGGUAAAAUGGGAAAUGUGAAUCAAUUGUUGUUUUUUGCUGCUAUCCUCGAUCUAAGAUAGUGAUACAAAAUGGAUUAUGUUGAAUAUUGUUUGAAUGAUCUAUAUAUGGAUGGGGGAAGUUGUUAGUAACAUGAUGAAGUCUUUGAAAGCCAUUUUGAUGGAUAUUUAUAAGUGUUAUGUGGGUCAUGAAAAUAUUGAUGGAAGUAGUAAAGUGUCAACUGAGGAGUUUUUAAAUUCUUUUAAUACAUAUAAAGGAUGUUCUUCUUCUAAGAGUGAUGCUCAUCUUAGUAGAUUUAUGGAAAAACAAGCACGGAAGGAUUCGGUUGAAAUAAAAAAAAAUGAUGUGGAAUGAUACUUAUUGGAUGCUCAUGAAAGCAUAGAGAAAAAAGAUUUUGAAGUUCUAGAUUGGUGGAAGGUUAACAACAAUAAGUAUGGUGUCUUGUCCAAUUCGGCCAAAGAUGUGUUGGCAAUUCAAGUUUUAACUGUUGCUUUAGAAAGUUCAUUUAGUACUGGAGGAAGGAUACUUGAUCCUUUCCGUAGUUCCUUAAGUCCUAGGAUGGUUGACGUCUUAGUAUGCACUCAAAAUUGGUUGAAAACUUCUCCGAACUUGGAUGGUUUUUGCAUAGAAGAUGUUAAGCAUUACAACCAAAUGGAUGAACUUUUAGAAUCAAUGAAUUCAAAAUCAAUUAAAGAUGACCAAGCUUAAAGAAUGUAAGUUUCUAGAGCUCAAAUAUUGGAGAAUUUCUUUUGCUAUAUUUUAACAUAAUUGUGAUCACUAAAUAUGCAAUUACAUAUUUGAAAUGCUCAACUAUGUUUGAAGGAUAUUUCAGCUAAAUCUUUCCUACACUUUGGUGAGAUGGAUGCGGUGUUGAAUCUGAUUUUGUAGAGAAAAUCAAUUUUUUGCUAGACUAAAAGUGUAAGUAAUCCCUAUUCUUGUGUAUAGAAUAGUGUAUUUAGUUGUCAACACUGAAUGAAUAAGCGAUAGUUUUAUCUGAUUACGACAAAUAUAUCUUGGAAAAUUCCAAUUGAUAGAUUUGGAAAUUUUGAUAUGAUAUAUAAAUUUAUGGAUAAGCGCUGGAGAAUUAUCAGAUGGAUUGCUCUUGGUGCUGUUACAUUGGAGGUAAGAGUAUGUAUUUUACUUUGUUAUUGUAAUCAACAUUAAUUUAUUGUGGUCACUUACUAUUGCCAUGGGCCAUGGCAUAUUAACAUAUUUUUUUUCAUGAAUCAUGCAAAAAUGUCAAAUUUGUUGCAAUCAAACCAGUCACAAUUCAAAUUCAGAGCUAUUUCAGUGUUUGCAGUAAAAAAAAAAUGAAAGAAAAGAUCUAUAUAAUAAAUAAAAGGUAUCUCCAUUUCAGCAAUAUGUAUAAAAGGUAAAAAUCAGAUUGACCAUAAUUCACACAAGAAUUUGACAGGAAAGGAGCAACAGGAGAAAUUUAUUUGCAUUUGUUUCUUCCUAUCUUUUUGUUGAUUCAUUCAUGUAUUUUUUUGUUGGGAUUUGUUUGGAGAUUGAAGAAAGUUUUCAUUGUUGCUGACUUGCUGGCAUUUCCUGGAUUACUUUUGAGAUGCAAAGUUUUUGAUGAAUCAUUGUGAUUAUGUAGUUGCCACAAGUUUACUAUAUUAAUUUCCAAGUGUUCUGACAAUGGAUGACUGUAUUAAUUGUAUUUGAGUGAACACUUAAAACGUCCUCAGUAGAUGAAGUUUUUAUGCAUAUAUAUAUAGUGGGGGAUCAUCUUGUAUACGUACAAAUUCGUUGGAUAAUGCAUCUUAUUCCCAUGUAGAUA